AAAUGCUCACUGUGCUGUUGGGUGCAUUGAGCGCCUCGUGACCGAAGCUAACGCGUUAAUUUCCCCCCCGGGGGAUACGGCCGCAAGGAUAAAACUCCAAUGAAUUGACGGGGGCCCGCACAAGCGGUGGAACAUGUGGUUUAAUUCCAAGCAACGCGAAAAACCUUACCCUGGCUUGACAUCCACUGAACUUUCCAGAAAUUGAUUGGUGCCUUCCGGAACUUUGAAACAGGUGCUGCAUGGCUGUCCUCCGCUCGUGUUGUGAAAUGUUGGGUUAAGUCCCGUAACGAGCGCAACCCUUGUCCUUUGUUUCCAGCACGUAAUGGUGGGAACUCCAAGGGAACUGCCGGUGAAAAACCGGAAGAAGGUGGGGAUGACCUCCAGUCAUCAUGGCCCUUACGAACUGGGCUACACACGUGCUACAAUGGUCUGUACAAAAGGGUGCCAAACCCCGAGAGGGAACCCAUUCCAUAAAACCCAUUCUAAUCCGGAAUGGAAUCUGCCACUCCACCUCCUGAAAUCCGAAUCCCUUGUUAUCGCAAAUCAAAAUGUCCCGGGUGAAUACAUUUUCCCGGGCCUUUUACACACCCCCCCGUCACACCCUGGGGAGUGGGUUGCACACCAAAUAAGUAGUCUUACCUUUCUCGGGGAGACGCUUUCCCCUUUGUGAUUCAUGACAGGGGGGGAAUCUCAAAGGGGA
rnacentral:rRNA from 1 species